UAAUCAAUUUCAUGAUCUUAUAAGGAAGUUGCAGUGUUCUGCCUUAGAUUUCUGCCUUAUUAUCGUUUUCUUGCUUUUAAGGAGCAGUCCAUUCUCUUAAAAGAGCCUUUGGACUUUUCAACAGAUGGAAGUUUAUCUUGGAUCAAAACAAAGCUUCUGUUUCAAUGUAUUCCUGCCUGAAGGCAGGAAACUGGACCAGAAGACAUCAUGCAGGCCCCUUGACAGACCUGUGUUUUGUUUGUAAAUCUCACUGCUGUUUAGUAACUGAAAUAGAAGGAUCUCCGAGUACCAUCAAAGCAGCAGAGCCGCUAUUGACAUGCUUUGUAAGUUAUUUUUGCUCUCGUAUUGCAAAGGUAGCCUUAGAAGUAUAGGAAGCAGUGUAAUACUUUAAAGUUAUUGCUUCCCAGCCCAUGAGAAAAAGUUCUUAUUUCUUUACUUUGUAGCGAUGGUGCACCUGCAUCGUUGUUACUGUAAUUGUAUUGCCAAAUCAGGUAUGAGAUUAGUUGUUGGAUGUUACAUGUAAUCUGCACAGAAAUCAAAUUAUUUAACCUCGAAGCCCACAAUACCUCCUCCUGCUGGUUUGCUGUUAAAUAUUCAGUAUUUUCUUGUCAUGAAUACAAAUGGAGGACAAAUUAGAAUCUACAGACAGCUGACCUGAGCUUCAGAUUAGAGGCUGAGGGGCUUGUGCUGUUUUAAAUGUUUUAAUUAUCAUAGUCCCAGUAGCCAGUUGAAGGACACACAUAAAAUCAUUUUUUAACAAAAGAAAAGGCAAAGCUCCUCCUCCUCCUCCUCCUCCUCCUCCUCCUCCUCCUCCUCCUCCUCCUCCUCCUCCUCCCCGAGCAAGUGUUUGAGUAUAAUUGUGUUGCACUUCCAUUAGAGCGAUGUGAAUCUGCUGCAUGGAAUUAGGUCUAUUAGGACGAGUCAUGUUUAAACACCAAAUAUAUCCAGGAAUAUUUUUUUCGUGGUGUGCAUUUGCCUUGUCGGAAGGAUGAUGUAUCGUCCUCAUUUUAUUUUGGACACUGAAUCUGUUUGUGUGUGUGUAUGUGAAGUUUAAUUUAGACAACAGAUCUGGUAGCUUACAUUGAAUGUGGUGAAAUUGUGUGGAAUGAUGGACUGAUUUAUACGUAAUAGCAUAUAUUUACAUUGAGGAAGAAUGAACCCAGAUGAAAUAAGCUACAGAGAAUUGUCCUAGGAAUAAAAAUACUUAACAUAUGCUAGCUUGAAUUUUAUUAAAUAAAUAAAAUUUUAUAGCAUAAUCAAAACUUUCACCAUUUAAAGUAAUGAGGAGGAUAUAAUGUAAUUAAAAUGCUAUGUUAGUUGAUAAAAUAUUAAUGGAUAGUUAUAGAACAAAACAAUUUU
rnacentral:lncRNA from 1 species